rnacentral:rRNA from 1 species
GGACCCCACUGCUAUCGGGGUGAGACUAAGACAUGCUAGUCAUGCRCCUCAGGCCACGGUGAGGUGCGGCGCACAGCUCAGUAACACGUAGCUAACCUACCCUUGGGACAGGGAUAACUCCGGGAAACUGGAGCUAAUCCCUGAUAGGUGAGGGCUCCUGGAAUGGGCCCUCGCCGAAAGGGCGCCUAGCCAUGCCUCUAGGCGCUGCCCAAGGAUGGGGCUGCGUCCGAUCAGGUUGUUGGUGGGGUAACGGCCCACCAAGCCUAUAACCGGUACGGGCCGUGGGNGCGGGAGCCCGGAGAUGGACACUGAGACAAGGGUCCAGGCCCUACGGGGCGCAGCAGUCGCGAAACCUCCGCAAUGCGCGNAAGCGCGACGGGGUCACCCCGAGUGCCAUCCGCUGAGGAUGGCUUUUCCC